rnacentral:rRNA from 1 species
GAAACGCCGACUAAUCCCCGAUGGGAUACGAUGCUUCAUGGCAUUGUAUUGAAAGUUACGGCGGCGACGGAUUGGCUCGCGUCCGAUUAGCUUGUUGGCGGGGUAACGGCCCACCAAGGCUACGAUCGGUAGGGGUUCUGAGAGGAAGGCCCCCCACAAUGGGACUGAGACACGGCCCAUACUCCUACGGGAGGCAGCAGUGAGGAAUAUUGGUCAAUGGGCGGAAGCCUGAACCAGCCAUGCCGCGUGCGGGAAGGAGGCCCUAUGGGCUGUGAACCGCUUUUGCCUGGGGGCAAUAAGGGCGUCGCGCACGUCCGAUGAGAGUACCAGGCGAAUAAGCAUCGGCUAACUCCGUGCCAGCAGCCGCGGUAAUACGGGGGAUGCGAGCGUUAUCCGGAUUCAUUGGGUUUAAAGGGUGCGUAGGCUGUGCGUCAAGUCGGGGGUGAAAUUCCGGUGCUCAACACCGGGGCUGCCCUUGAUACUGUCGCGCUGGAGUGCGGAUGCCGCCGGAGGAAUGAGUGGUGUAGCGGUGAAAUGCUUAGAUAUCACUCAGAACACCGAUUGCGAAGGCAUCUGGCGAAUCCGUAACUGACGCUGAGGCACGAAAGCGUGGGGAUAGAACAGGAUUAGAUACCCUGGUAUUCCACGCCGUAAACGAAGAUGGCUAACCGCCGGCGACACACUGUCGGUGGC